rnacentral:misc_RNA from 1 species
AGCAGCCGCGGUAAUUCCAGCUCCAAUAGCGUAUAUUAAAGUUGUUGCAGUUAAAAAGCUCGUAGUUGAAUUUCGGGAUCAAUAUAUCGGUCGUGCCUUGGUACGUACUGGUAUCAUUGGUUUCUCCUUUCUGACGAACCAUGAUGUCAUUAAUUUGGUGUUAUGGGAAGUUAGGACUGUUACUUUGAAAAAAUUAGAGUGUUUAAAGCAGGCUUUAGCUUGAAUACAUUAGCAUGGAAUAAUGAAAUAGGACGUUCGAACCUAUUUUGUUGGUUUCUAGGAUCAACGUAAUGAUUAAUAGGGAUAGUUGGGGGCAUUAGUAUUCAAUUGUCAGAGGUGAAAUCUUGGAUUAUUGAAGACUAACUACUGCGAAAGCAUUUGCCAAGGAUGUUUUCAUUAAUCAAGAACGAAAGUUAGGGGAUCGAAGACGAUCAGAUACCGUCGUAGUCUUAACCAUAAACUAUGCCGACUAGGGAUCGGAUGAUGUUAAUUUUUUAAUGACUCAUUCGGCGCCUUACGG